GAUGGCUGAGUUGAAGGCGAUAAACUGUAAAUUUAUUUACGAAAUUUUUUUCUCUCAUCA
rnacentral:tRNA from 1 species